ensembl:lncRNA
AGUGGAGUCUCCAGGCAAACUAUGCAGUAUUUCAUGGUCGGAAAGAAUCAAAGGAAGUUUAAAUGAGGGUGGAGUUAAACUGUGCUAAAUUACAGUAGUGCUUAUUAGUAACUAGAUUUCAAAAGGUUACAGAAAAUGUACAUUCUCUACACAAAACGGCAUUUGCUGCACAGACAACAUGACAUCGACACAGGGAGGAAACUGAUUGUCCGUUCUUUGCCCAGGAAGUCUCGGGAUUUUAUAGAUUCAUCUUUACCUCUUUUUUUUUGUUGUUGCUCUUCUGAAAAAGCAGUUAAUUUUUUUUCUUUUCUUUCUCUUUUUUAUACUAGGGACGUGGAGAUGUUAAAACGACAACAAAAAAUAUAUAUAUAAAAACAGGAAUGAAAUCUGUGAGAGAAUAUUUUUGGUUCUAAAGACGGGUGCGUCCGUUUGUCUUCGCCCGAAUCCCUUGCCGGAGACCACACGAGCAGUGACAUUGCACGCAGAGGGCAGCUUUGGGGUCCCGCCGCGUCACUGAAACCACCGGAAGGCGGCUCCCGUCGGAAGCAUCACCUUCUGGCGGGGGAGGGGCGGGAGACAAAAACAAGGAGAGAGUUCAGUCAGGGUCCGCGCGGGCCUGCGGCAAAGGCGCUCCCCCGCCGACGGCCUCGCGGCUGGAGGGGUGCGGCCACUCUGCGGAGCUCCUGGCCUCCUGGCCGCCCUGGGGCCCUCCUCGCAGACGGGAAGAGCCCCUCCCCUGGUCCAAAGGCAGCCAGCGCCAGGUGGGGUGGCUGGGCUGCACCUGGGGGCCGAGUGACUCUCUGUGACGCGCGCACUGGACACGCACACGGGAGCGUGUCUCACGCUAGGCGAGAUGGUGCCGGGUGGAUGGAUGGAGCCGGGGUAGGGGCGGGGUGGUAUCUGGCGGUCCUCACGGGUGCUGUCUACACAGGAGGCCGUGUCCCGGGCAGGUUUGAGUGUCUACAGCGGACAGAAGGGGGCAUCUUGUGUGCAGGCAGGAGGUCUAGGGGCCAGCCUGUGGGGGUGGCCAGGAGGGGUGGCCGUGGACAUUUGCGUCAAGCCCACUUGCAGAGGGGCGGGGACAGGAGCAGGGACAGCAGGCUGAAAAGACGCUUUGUGCCAGGCCUGGCACGCCAGCAAGGUUGCCACGUCUGGGGGCACAGGAACACGCCCUACCACAGGGUGGAGAGAAAGCUCAACGGGAGCCCCUGCGCCUCCUCUAAGCCAGUUCUGCAGUGGACAGGCCCUUGCCUGGGCCCCAGGCUUCUGGCCACCCCGACACCAGGUUCCCCAAAUCUGGCAACUAGGGCUCUCCUGGGCCUGAGCAGCCAGCUCUGCCUGUGGGGGAGCUCAGGGGAGAGGCUGGGCUCCAGGGAGUCAAGUGCAGGGCUGAGUCUCAAGGCCACAGGGUCCAUGAGACAGCACUGGACCCCACGCCGGGUUGGGGCGAGUCCCAGAACCUUAGGUCACGUGUGCGAGUCAGACUCAGUGCCCGGCUCGGGACCCCAGAGCUGAGCAGCUGCGAUCGGAGUCCAGGGACCUAGGGCCUCCCCUCCUGGCGGGCAGCACCAGGGGACAGGCCGGGAAAAGCUGCUCAGAAACACAUGGGCCCAGCAGUGGGCAGAGGGGAGCACAAGCCCCACACGGCGAGGACCUGGGUCGGUCCUGCCACUCCCCGACUGCUGACUCCACCAAGCCCUUCAACAGCUGAGUCCCACCUCUUAACCAGUUCUUACUCCUCACCCCAAGCCGCAGGGUCCCAAGCCAGGGGGCCCCGCGGGGAAGGAAAGGGAGUGGCAGAAGCAACAAUCGCAGGUGCUGACCCUCUGCUCCCCCAAGUCCCAGGAGGAGGACUGGGAGGUGCGCACACCUCCAGCGAUGUGGCUCGCAGGGCACCCAGGCCUCCCCGCCCAUUUCCACGGAGGAUACUGUACCUGCGCUCACACUCACUCUGCCAUGCGCUGUUCUGCACCUAUGCAUUUACUCCUCAGAUUCUCUCUACAACCCCGUAUCUAACAGCAGCCCCAUUUCCCAGUAGGACAACUAAGACCCAGGGAGAUCAAGCCCCCUGCUUAAGGCCAUAAGGUCAGCAAGUGGCACAGCCAGGAUUUGAACCCAGGUCUGCAUGGCUCCUGGGCCUCGCUCUCCAACGUUGGCUCCGAGGCACAUAGGGGGGCCAUGGCCGGACAAUGAGGCCCCGUCCAGCUCUGAGCCUGCGAGAACCCCUAGGUUUCCCGUGGGCCCUGAGGGUGGCUCUCAGGAUCCGGGCAAAUCCCGUUAGGGCCACGUUGCUGACAAGUCUGAGCUGCACCCCAAGGCCCAGGAGAACACAGAGGAAGGGGCUGCGGGUGGGCUGGACGGGCCAGAGCUCCGGGCAUUCCGGCGGCCUCCGCAGGAAGCAGAACGGGACGGAAACCGGCUCCUGCCUCCUCCCCCAGAAUCCUGUGGGCAGCCAGGCCGGGCUGCACAGAGGCCCUCUUUGUGCCUGCCCUAACCCGCCACCCGCGGCCGGCCCA